UACGUAGGGGCCUAGCGUUGUCCGGAAUUAUUGGGCGUAAAGAGCUCGUAGGCGGUUCGGCAAGUCGGAUGUGAAAUCUCCACGCUUAACGUGGAGGGGCCAUUCGAAACUGCCGUGACUCGAGUCCGGUAGGGGAGUGUGGAAUUCCCGGUGUAGCGGUGAAAUGCGCAGAUAUCGGGAAGAACACCAGUGGCGAAGGCGGCGAUCUGGGAAGAUACUGACGCUGAGGUGCGAAAGCGUGGGGAGCAAACAGG
rnacentral:rRNA from 1 species